UUUCCCCUCCGUUUCCCAACCCCCCUUGCAAGUUCAAACAGUUAAAAUCCUAAAGUUCUGUUUCCUUCAGCCAUCAGAGAUCCGUGUCUGUUCCACGGGUACACAGGAGAGAUGGGAAGGAGCUGCUGCCAAUGGAUGGAGAUCGCAGCUCUGCUCCAGGGUGCUCCCAAGAAACACAAAUCCCACAGCACCAAAACCAGGAGUGGGACUGGAGGAAAAUCCCAG